GAUGAACGCUGGCGGCGUGCUUAACACAUGCAAGUCGAACGGAAAGGCUCCUGCUUGCAGGGGUACUCGAGUGGCGAACGGGUGAGUAACACGUGGGUGAUCUGCCCUUCACUUCGGGAUAAGCCUGGGAAACUGGGGCUAAUACCGGAUAGGACGACCUUUUGGAUGCCAUGGGGUAAAGUUUUUUCGGUGUGGGAUGAGCUCGCGGCCUAUCAGCUUGUUGGUGAGGUAAUGGCCUACCAAGGCGUCGACGGGUAGCCGGCCUGAGAGGGUGUACGGCCACAUUGGGACUGAGAUACGGCCCAGACUCCUACGGGAGGCAGCAGUGGGGAAUAUUGCACAAUGGGCGCAAGCCUGAUGCAGCGACGCCGCGUGGGGGAUGACGGCCUUCGGGUUGUAAACUCCUUUCGCUAGGGACGAAGCGCAAGUGACGGUACCUGGAGAAGAAGCACCGGCUAACUACGUG
rnacentral:rRNA from 1 species